rnacentral:pre_miRNA from 1 species
AAUACCUCAGUCUUUUCAGGUGUUCUAUAAAAUCACCUGGAAAUAUUGAGGUUGAGU